GACGAACGCUGGCGGCGUGCCUAACACAUGCAAGUCGAACGGAGAAUUUCAAUAAGCUUGCUUAGAGAAAUUUUUAGUGGCGGACGGGUGAGUAACGCGUGGGUAACCUACCCAUAAACCCGGGACAACCCUUGGAAACGAGGGCUAAUACCGGAUAAUCUUUUAGCUUGGCAUCAAGUUUUAAGGAAAGGUGGCCUCUGAAUAUGCUACCGAUUAUGGAUGGACCCGCGUCUGAUUAGCUAGUUGGUGGGGUAAAGGCCUACCAAGGCGACGAUCAGUAGCCGGCCUGAGAGGGUGAACGGCCACACUGGGACUGAGACACGGCCCAGACUCCUACGGGAGGCAGCAGUGGGGAAUCUUCCGCAAUGGACGAAAGUCUGACGGAGCAACGCCGCGUGUAUGAUGAAGGUCUUCGGAUUGUAAAGUACUGUCUUAGGGGAAGAACG
rnacentral:rRNA from 1 species